UGAUAACAUAAAAUAAUAUAUCUUAAAGGGUUAGGGUUAGGGUUAGUCAAAAUGGCAGAGAUAUUAAACAAGGAUUGGUAAAUUAUUGUUGUCAAUGUUGUUUCUGAAUAACCAGAUUUCACAAGUUAAGUGGAGUAAAAUUUCCUCGGUUUCCGGAAGUCUCGCGGGGUUUCGCUUAACGAGAUUUCGUUUCCGUAGGUCACGUGGUGCGAAAGAACAACACUUGGCGUCGCUAAUGCUAACUGGAGCAGGUUUCGGUGAGAAAAUUGUGGUAAAAAGUCGCUUCUUACCGGAGAUCAGCUGAGCUUGCCCCGUCCAUAAAGCUGCCUUCGACUUCGCUGAGACAUUGGCGUCAAGACACCCGUGGACACACCCCUCCGACGAUCAGAAUAAUACCCGCUUCAUAUGUUAUAAGUGUGACAGGGACUUUGCCUCACCUGAGGAGCUCAGUUUGCACCAAGCCACCCACCGCACAGAUGAGCUCCCCGUCUGCUCUUUCUGCAAAAAAAAAUUUGACACCUUCACAAAGCUGAUCAAACACAAAAGACUCGACUGUCCUGACAGAGAAUGGCACUGUCGAGACUGCCACCCAAUAGUCCGCUGCGUCAACCUCUUACAGUUUCACAUUCAUUGCAUCAAGGUGCACGACAAGGAUGCAACGGAAACCGGCAGGCACCGUUGCAUGACAUGCUUUGGCUGUUUUCCCACCCGGCAAGCGCUCUUGAACCACCAAUGGCGGAUCAACAAAGCUGCGAAGACGCCCGUAAGGAAAUGUGACCCGGAGGCAAACACUCCAAAGUACAGCAAGAGGGUGAGAAGAACAGAUGCUCUAUCGCCGGAACGCAAGAUCCCUUGUUCGGAAGAAGGUUGUGACCUGGUAUUCCCGUCUGUUGACGCCCUGAGGAUGCGCAAAAAGAACCAGCACGUUCCUCACUUAUCUUGCAAGAAGCAUUGAUGCUGAAACACAGGGGUCAGCAACCCGCAUGCGGCUCUUUGGCCACUCUGAUGGGGCUCAGCUGCAUAAUCGCUGCCCCCCCGCCCCUGAUUAUUUCGGGAGGUUUCCGGAUUUUGGUGCCUCUCCCGGAAAUCACCCGGGGCUAACAUUCUCCUAUUUUCACCCGGACUACAAUAUUGAGGGCGUGCCGUGAUGGUUAUACUUUUAACGUCCUCUACAACAUGUCAUCGCGCCCGCUUUUACACCAUGCUAUCUGCGUGCCGGCCGGGGCAUGCAUUUCGCUGCUUCUGUCAUUACGCGUACGAGAUUGCAAGGCAUACUUGGUCAACCGCCAUACAGGUUACACUGAAGGUUGUGAUAUAAACAACUUUAACACUCUUAAUAAUAUGCGCCACACUGUGAACCCACACCAAACAAGAAUUAAAAACGCAUUUCGGGAGAACAUCCUCACAGUAACACAACAUAAACAGAACAGAACAGAACAAAUACCCAGAAUGUCAUGCAGCCCUAACUCUUCCUGGCUACAUUAUACACCCCCCCCUCAACUCCGCCCACCUCAACCGGCGCACGGAGGGGUUGUGCGGGCGGGUUUUGGUGCUAGCGGGGGGGUGUAAUGUAGACAGGAAGAGUUAGUGAUGCAUGGGAUUCUGGGUAUUUGUUCUGUUCUGUUUGUUGUGUUACAGUGAGGAUGUUCUCCCGAAAUGUGUUUGUCAUUCUUGUACGGUGUGGGUUCACAGUGUGGCGCAUAUUAGUAAGAGUGUUAAAGUUUUUUAUAUCACAACCUUCAGUGUGACCUGUAUGGCUGUUGAACAACUAUGCCUUGCAGUCGUGUACGUGUGUCUGCGAAAGUCACAUACAACAUGUUACUGGGCUGGCAAGCCGGUUGUACAUGUUGUAGAAGGCGUCAAAGGCUGUGCCUUCACAGCACGCCCUUAUUACUGAUGUCUGGGCGAACAUCAGCAGAUAUUUGCGAGAAUAGUUGCUAUGGGAAUUCGGGAACCUCCCGGAAAAUUUGGGAGGGUUGGCAAGUGUAAUGCUGUCAAGCGGCAUUCAUAUAAAACUCGCGGGCCGCACUAACAUUAAAUUUUCUUAUCAAGGUGCUUGAGACCCCUGGUGUACGCAUAGCACAAAGCAAAAAAAAAACCUCUUUAUGCAGUGUUAUUUCUUUUUAAAUUUCAUAAGAGUUUUGUGGCUCCCAUUGUUUUCUUUGUUUUGUGAAACGGGUCAAAAUGGCUCUUUGAGUGGUAAAGGUUGCCGACCCCUGCUGUAACAGAACACAUUACCAUUGACAUAUUUACAAUUUAUGGCCACUCUCAUGUCAUGUGACUUUGCUUCAGACUUUAUUGAAUCAUUUUGGAAGUCAUGUUACCCCGUGUGUAGUUUUUUACAGUCAUGCUAUACAUUCACCCCCUAGAAAGUAUUUAGCUUGGCAAAUCCACCAUUUCUGCUACUUCCGCCUGCUAGCACAGUUCAGCGUCAAAAAUGUGGUUUGCAAUCGCAAGGAAAUCAGCAAAGAAACAUUUUAAUUUCAACAAAUGCUUACCUAUUAAAUGUAAUAAAUUGUAUUUUAUUUGCGUAGAUUGCAAAUCUAAUUGUCCCUUUUUUUUAAAGUCUGGUGCUUAUGUGUAAUAUUAUUUUUUCCAAAUAAACAAUGUGCUUAUGUGGCA